CCCUUAGACGUUCUGGGCCGCACGCGCGCUACACUGACCAGUGCAACAAGCAUCCGUCCUUGGCCGAUAGGUCUGGGUAAUCUUUGAACGCUGUUCGUGAUUGGGAUAGACCUUUGCAAUUAUGGGUCUUCAACGAGGAAUUCCUAGUAAACGCAAGUCAUCAGCUUGCAUUGAUUACGUCCCUGCCCUUUGUACACACCGCCCGUCGCACCUACCGAUUGAAUGGUCCGGUGAAAUCUCGGGACGGCGGCUCGGUCGCUUGCGUCCGACUGCUGAAACUUGAUUAAACCAUAUCAUUUAGAGGAAGGUGAAGUCGUAACA
rnacentral:rRNA from 1 species